AGCCCCGUGGUGAAAUUCAUGUCGGAUUGCAAAUCCGAAGGAGCGGCUUAAGUGCCUGCCGGGGCUU
rnacentral:tRNA from 2 species